AGAUAAAUAAAGAUUUUCUUCUUUAUUUUGCAAAAAUAAUGUUAAGGUUUAUUACCUUUUUAUCUU
rnacentral:tRNA from 1 species